AUUGAACGCUGGCGGCAGGCCUAACACAUGCAAGUCGAGCGGGGUUUUCGGACCUAGCGGCGGACGGGUGAGUAAUGCGUAGGAAGCUACCCGAUAGAGGGGGAUACCAGUUGGAAACGACUGUUAAUACCGCAUAAUGUCUACGGACCAAAGUGUGGGACCUUCGGGCCACAUGCUAUCGGAUGCGCCUACGUGGGAUUAGCUAGUUGGUGAGGUAAUGGCUCACCAAGGCGACGAUCCCUAGCCGGUUUGAGAGGAUGAUCAGCCACACUGGAACUGAGACACGGUCCAGACUCCUACGGGAGGCAGCAGUGGGGAAUAUUGGACAAUGGGCGCAAGCCUGAUCCAGCCAUGCCGCGUGUGUGAAGAAGGCCUUCGGGUUGUAAAGCACUUUCAGUAGGGAGGAAGGGUGUUGUGUUAAUAGCACAGCAUUUUGACGUUACCUACAGAAGAAGCACCGGCUAACUCUGUGCCAGCCGCCGCCGUAAUAC
rnacentral:rRNA from 1 species